rnacentral:sRNA from 2 species
AUGUGCCACUCGUCCGCGCUGGUCCUGCGCGCCGACCGCUCCCACACGUGACACUGCUCGCUACGGUUUGUCGGCC